rnacentral:lncRNA from 1 species
CACCUCCGGGUACUAUGGUUGGCCGAGAACCCGUGCUGCGGCGCCAGCCCACACCUCUACCGCAUGACCGUGCUGCGUAACCUGCCCCACCUGCAGAAGCUGGACAACCAAGAGUCCAGGGCCAGACUGCCUCAGACCAAUCUCCUUCCUUCUCACCAAGGGACACUAUGAAGAAUCCCAAGAAUAGGAACAUCCUGACCGCCAUAUUGCUGCUGCUGCGGGAGCUGGACACGGAGGGGCUAGAGACCGUCCAGCAGACUGUGGGCAACCGGCUACAGGCACUGCACAGACUGGAGCCCCAGGAAGACAUGGAGUGACUUCACAUGCGCCAGGAUCUGGACCCUGUUACGUCCUGAGGAAAUACAGCUCUGCCUGGAAAGCCUCCCUCUGGGUUCCCAGUGCAGAUGCAGUGGC